CCUANGGGUGGCUGCAGUAACGAAUAUUGGGCAAUGGGCGCAAGCCUGACCCAGCGACGCCGCGUGGAGGACGAAGUCCUUCGGGAUGUAAACUCCUGUCAGGGGUUAGAAAGUUCUGAUCAACCCCAGAGGAAGGCACGGCUAACUCUGUGCCAGCAGCCGCGGUAAGACAGAGGUGCCAAGCGUUAGGCGGAAUCACUGGGCUUAAAGCGUGUGUAGGCGGAUCGUUAAGUGCCUUGUGAAAUCCCACGGCUCAACCGUGGAAUGGCUGGGCAUACUGGCGGUCUUGAGCCAUUCAGGGGCGACUGGAACAAGCGGUGGAGCGGUGAAAUGCGUAGAUAUCGCUUGGAACGCCAAAGGUGAAAACAGGUCGCUGGGGAUGUGCUGACGCUGAGACACGAAAGCCAGGGGAGCAAACGGGAUUAGAUACCCGGNUANUC
rnacentral:rRNA from 1 species